AAACUUUCAACAACGGAUCUCUUGGUUCUCGCAUCGAUGAAGAACGCAGCGAACUGCGAUAAGUAAUGUGAAUUGCAGAAUUUUGUGAAUCAUCGAAUCUUUGAACGCACAUUGCGCCUUUUGGUAUUCCAGAAGGCAUACCUGUUUGAGAGUCAUU
rnacentral:rRNA from 1 species